GGUCCCGGAGGCACCCUGAGGUCCCAUGGAGCACCCUGGGAUGCGUGGGGCAGUCAGGGGGCCCACAGGCACCCUGAGAACAUAUAGGGCACCCCAGGGUGCAUGGGGCACCCUAGGGACAUGUGCCCCCCCCCCCUCCCCCCCUCCUUCCUCUGCCCGGGGCUGUGGGGCAGGCGGGGGGGGGGGAGGAGGAGGAAGGAAGGAGGAGGAGGAGGAGGAGGGAGGAAGGGGCGGUGAUGCCGGGCGGCUCUGCCUCCCCGCUGCCCCCGCCGCGCCGGGCAGGGCGCGCCCGCGGAGCUCACGGAGGGACCCGCCGCGGCUCCCCAGCUUGGCCGGGAAGGAGGAAAACCAGCAGCUCCUGCGGGUGAGGAUUUGAGCAGCCGGGCAAAGGCUGGCAGCGCCGGAGCCCGUUUGGGGUUUCGCCGGAGGGGAGGGAGGGACGGAGGGAGCGAAGCCGCUCGGGGUUUUUUCCUUUUUAAUCCCUUCCCCUGCUUGAGUCAGAGGCUGAAGUCACCGGCGUGCACGUCCCGAAGCUUUUCACCCACUGCGGGGGGACUGGCUGCCCCCCCAAAGGAUGCAUCGACACCCGUGAGAGGGAUUUUUGGGGAGCAGAGCCACCCCGCGCUGGGGCAUGAGACCAGGCAACUCAUCACACAGGUCUGGCCCCUCUGCGGCUUCCACAAUGCUGCCGGGGAAAGCAGAGAAGAGGAUCGCUUCGUCAGUCUUCAUCACCCUGGUGCCACCGCGGAGGGAGGUGGUCACCAAGGAGAAAACCCAAAGGGAGCUGCAGCCGGGCAGAGCCGAGGUCCCGGGCACCCACCGCCCCCGGACCCCACCGCCGCAGCCCCCCGCGUUGCCCAACGGAGGUGAGGGGUGUCCGUGGGGGGCUGCGAGCGAUGCCGAGAGGAUGAUGAUGGUGCUGAGGAUGCUGUGGAGGUGCCUUGCUAAAGGAUGUGUGUGCAGGCAGGAGGGGAUGUGGAGUUUUUUUGGGGGGUUAUUCCCCAAAUCCCUGCACCCAUCCCGGGAUGGAUCCGGCUGCUGGGGAAGGGCUG
rnacentral:lncRNA from 1 species